UGCACUGACCAUUUUCCUACUUUUGAGGUUUUGGGACUUGGACUGAGCCGCUACUGGCUUCCUUGCUCUUCAACUUGCAGACAGCCUGUAGUGGGACUUCACCUUGUGAUCAUGCUGCUGACUAACUUAAUGAACUGAACGGAUUAAAAUGGUGCAAGAGAAAAGGGCAUUUUUACACAAAAGGAAGCAUUUUCUGUGUUCCAGUUCAGCUGUUCCAAUGACAUUUGGUGGUGUUAUCAGUGUGAAUUAUACAAGCAAGUUUCUUUAUCCAGACUGACGCAUCAACCAUGAUCUAGCAUUUGCAAGAUGUGUAAUUACUUUGACUUUCAAGAAAACAUCUUCUGAUCUAAGGAACUUCCCAAGAUAUCAAAGCUGGCUGGCUCAGGAAUACUCUCACAGUGAUGGCAGAAGAGCAAAUCUGGAAGUUCAAACACUCAAAUGUGUUGUUGGAUUUCUGCAUGCAUCACAUGGGCUAACAACUGGUCAAAGCAAAUCACAUGGCCAAACUAAAAAUCAAAGGCCUGGAAGACAGACAAAGUGCUAUAUUGAAGGUUACAGAAGAAUAAAGAAGUUCUGAAUAGAACAGAAGCUUUCAUAAGGCAGGGGUUAUAACGACCAACAGAGACUCCACAAAACCAUUUACUCACAAGAGAAAAUAUGGCACGGAUUGGAUUAGAAGUGGAAAGACUAAUGCAUUUUUGUCCAUAAGGAUUAGAAGAAAAAUGGUUCUCUCAGCUCUGCAAAAACCUGGACCCCCAACAAAAAGACCUGUUGACAUGUAGACCUCAGAUAAGGGAGAACUGAGGAUUGAGCUCUGAUCACAAUUCUUUUUUCUACUGUUCUUCCUGAGGGGCCUGGAGGAAGUCACAUCCACAAGCCAGAGCUAACCCUUUUUCUGCUGACCCCAAAUUUUUAAACAAAGCUUCUUUUCCUUAACCAAUUGCAAAUCAGAAAAUCUUCAAAUUUGCCUAAGACCUGUAAGCUUCUGCUUCAAUAUGUCACACCUUUUCUUAGGCCAAACCAAUGUAUAAACUCCGUGUAUUAAUUUAGACUGUAACUUCUGCACUCCUGAAAAUUUCCCCCGGCUUUGAAAACCCUUUCUUGUAAGCCAGCCGGGAGUCUGGGUCUUAAACAUGAGCUGCCUGAUUGUCCUUGCUUGGUGCCCUGCAAUAAAUGCCUGAUUGUUGUGGUGCAGUUUGGAUGUCAGUAUUUCGCUUUGCUGGACCACGGAGGCCGACCUAUGUUUGGUUCAUUCACUAACAUAAGGAAGUGGAUUCUGCUAAAACACAGUGAGCUUAGAACUGAAUGCUGAGACUCUCUGAUGAGAUCAUAGCUCGGCUGACAUUUUUAUUUUAGCUUGGUUGAGACUAUAAGCAGAGAACCCUGCCCAGAAUCCCUACUCAAGGAAACUGAGAUAAUAAAUUUUCAUUGUUCUAAGCCACUGUUUGUAAUAGUUCCUUACACAACAACAAUAAUAAUAAGAGUAAUAAAAACUAAUUCACUUGCUUUCAUGGAACUUACGAUUAUUAAGUGAGACACAUUAUGAAUAUCUGCCCAAAAAGUAAAUAAUACAAUUUCAGAAAAAUAAGUGCUUUGGAGUACAUUAAUAUAGGUGAGGUGUAAGAGAAGGUGAAUAGUGUCUCAAUGAUAGAAGUGUGGAUACCAAAACACUAUUAAACCCACCCAGUUUUUUCAUACACAUUUCUGUUGGAUGAACAUAGAAAUUGACCCUUCUGGGCUUUAAGCUUGAAACUUACGUUUGUUUUAUCUGAGUUCCUUCCCCAGGAAAGGAUCCCAAAGGCCUCUAAAAAAGUAUACAAAAACCUGAAACUAACCAGAUUAUUGCAUUCAGAUGAUGAGAUGCCAGGACCCUCAUUCAUCAUGAUUGUUCCUUAUCCUCCCUGCGUUCCCCACACAGUUACAUUUCUUCCCUGCUAUAUAAACCCCUAAUUGUAUUCAGUCAGGAAGAUGGGUUCGAGACUGAUCUCUCAUCUCCUCAGCUGCAUCACCUGAUUAAAGCCUUCUUUUUUGGCAAUGCUCAUCCUCUCAGUCAUUGGUUUUCUGUGCAGUGAACAGCAGGACCUAGACUGAACUCCUGGUAUUUUGGUAACAACUGCAAGAAGGCUCAAAUUGCUGAAAUUCAAAGGAAGUCAACACAUUGUAAGAAGAGCCAAGAGGGUACAUGGCAGAGCAGAAUUUGACACAUUAUAAGAUGAGCCAGGAGGGUAUAUGGCAGAGCCAAGAGGGUACAUGGCUAGAGGUGUCGUAAGGGAGUCUGCUAGGGGAGAGUCUGGACAGGAAGGAAAGGGUCAGAUAAUGAAAGAUCAUGGCAGUAAUUCAUUUCUACAUUUUGAAACUUAAUAAUCUAUUUUUUAUAAUUUUAAAAGCAUUGACCAUUUUUGAGAGAGAAUUUCUGUAGCUUGUUUAGUGUUUUCAAACUCUGUUAAUAUACUUAUUUUUCUAACUAAUCUUCAGUUAAUUUUGAUGAUGUAUUUUAUUUUUACACAGCCGACUAUUUAAUUGUUGUACCCAACUUUACAUAUAAUUGUACACUGAGCUCCAAUUAUCUGUAUAUAAUUGGGAAUCAAAGCCUGUGAGUGACACUUUGUUUUCUGAGUGAUCUUUGGAAUUAAUUAACAUUGAUACUGUGUUUCUGAUUUUCUAUGUAUUAGCGUUAUGCUUGGGUCAUCAGAGAUUUAUUCUUAUUCUACUUUGUGGUUAUCUUGUAUUUAACAACUCUAUGUAGCUAAUCCCUAAUUGAAUCAAUUGUUAUCAUUUCAUCAUAAUAAAAUAAUCAUCAGUAACAAGGCGUGCUGGAGCUACUGGCGUGCAUUGGCUUACAAAAGACCACCAUGGACAUUAUUUCCCAACUCCCUUAUCAGUGGUGCCAUCUUGAGAGUUUGAAAUUGUCAACAGUGGAAAUAGUUGUAUCACAAAAUCAGCAAAUAUUACAAUAAUAGGUUUUGUUUCCUCAGAAAGACAGUUAAAUUUUACUAGCAUACCAGUGAUGAGACACAACCUUUCUGUAUGUCAAUUUAUAAAAAUUUCAACAUGAGACUUUCUUUAAAUCCUACUGGCUUGUCUUGACUUUCUGUGACUCAUAAAAGAAAUUUUUGAAAAAAAAACUUUGUUUUGAUUGCGAUUUAUUCCUAUGUAGUUAUUUACAUGUAUAUUUUUGUAAUUACAAUUAAUGUAAUAAAAUUUAACUUAUAUGUAUAAGAAGUUAAUU
ensembl:lncRNA D21S2088E D21S2088E